rnacentral:tRNA from 1 species
AGUUAUAAGCUUAUUGAAUAAGAUUAUGUUUUGAAAUCAUAAGAAAAGGGUUAAAAUCCCUUAUUAACUU